rnacentral:rRNA from 1 species
UAGGCGGCUUAUAAGUCAGUGGUGAAAGCCCUACGCUUAACGUAGGAACGGCCAUUGAUACUGUUAGGCUUGAAUUAUUAGGAAGUAACUAGAAUAUGUAGUGUAGCGGUGAAAUGCUUAGAGAUUACAUGGAAUACCAAUUGCGAAGGCAGGUUACUACUAAUGGAUUGACGCUGAUGGACGAAAGCGUGGGUAGCGAACAGGAUUAGAUACCCUGGUAGUCCACGCCGUAAACGAUGGAUACUAGCUGUUGGGCGCAAGUUCAGUGGCUAAGCGAAAGUGAUAAGUAUCCCACCUGGGGAGUACGUUCGCAAGAAUGAAACUCAAAGGAAUUGACGGGGGCCCGCACAAGCGGUGGAGCAUGUGGUUUAAUUCGAUGAUACGCGAGGAACCUUACCAAGGCUUAAAUGUAGUUUGACCGUUUUGGAAACAGAACUUUCGCAAGACAAAUUACAAGGUGCUGCGUGGUUGUCGUCAGCUCGUGCCGUGAGGUGUCAGGUUAAGUCCUAUAACGAGCGCAACCCCUGUUGUUAGUUGCCAGCGAGUCAAGUCGGGAACUCUAACAAGACUGCCAGUGCAAACUGUGAGGAAGGUGGGGAUGACGUCAAAUCAUCACGGCCCUUACGCCUUGGGCUACACACGUGCUACAAUGGGACGGUACAGAGAGCA